rnacentral:tRNA from 1 species
CUUCAGAUAACCUAAAUAAGGUAUUGGCCUCUUAAGCCUAAUUAUAGAAUUUCUUCUGAAGA